ACCAGUCUUAGGGCACCUCUCACUUAGGCAGGUAAUGGUGCAUAUUAUGGCAUUUGUUCCCAUGACUUGCCAAAGGAGAGUUGCCCUGUGACUGCU
rnacentral:pre_miRNA from 1 species